UACGGGGGGAGCAAGCGUUGUUCGGAUUUACUGGGCGUAAAGGGCGCGUAGGCGGCCUCUGCAAGUCGACUGUGAAAUCUCCGGGCUUAACCCGGAAAGGUCAGCCGAUACUGCAGGGCUAGAGUGCAGAAGGGGCAACUGGAAUUCUCGGUGUAGCGGUGAAAUGCGUAGAUAUCGAGAGGAACACCUGCGGCGAAGGCGGGUUGCUGGGCUGACACUGACGCUGAGGCGCGAAAGCUAGGGUAGCAAACGGG
rnacentral:rRNA from 1 species